rnacentral:misc_RNA from 1 species
AGUUGCCUGGAUUGGGGGUUGAAUUAUUUCCAUGGAUCACCUUCCUUCAGGUAAUGACCAUAUUUUGGUGAAAGCAUUCCUUUUAAUACCGGGGCUGAGAUCUCCAUUUUUCAUUUCCUUUCCCAACACCACCCCCUCUAUCCGCCACCCCACCCUUCUCCCAAAAAAUAAUGAUAAAGAUAUUGAUAUUGACAAUGAUAAUA